GUCAUGUCACGUUGAAACACCGGUUGUCGUACGAUCACUGAAGUUAAGCAACGUCGAGCCCGACCAGUAUCUAGAUGGGUGACCGCUUGGGAAUACAAGUGGUGUA